ensembl:misc_RNA Metazoa_SRP Metazoan signal recognition particle RNA
ACCGGGUGCAGUGGCAUGUGCCUGUAAUCCAAGUCACUGGGAGGCUGAGGUUGGUGGAUCAAGUGAGCUGAGGAGCUCUGGGCUGCAGCACACUAUGUUGAACGGGUGUCCACGCCAAGUUCGGUAUCGAUAUGGUGUUCCAGGGGGAGCCCGGGACCACCAGGUUGUCUAAGGAGGGGUGAACCGGCCCAGGUCGGAAACGAAGCAGGUCAAAUCCCCCGUGCUGUCCAGUAUUUGGAUAAUACCUGUGAGUAGAUGCUGCAGUGCAGCCUUGGCAAAACAUCGAGACCUAAUCUUUU